rnacentral:rRNA from 1 species
GCUACGGGUGGCAGCAGUAGGGAAUAUUGCUCAAUGGGGGAAACCCUGAAGCAGCAACGCCGCGUGGAGGAUGAAGGUUUUCGGAGUGUAAACUCCUUUUGAUAGAGAAGAAAAUGACGGUAUCUAAAGAAUAAGCACCGGCUAACGCCGUGCCAGCAGCCGCGGUAAUACGGAGGGUGCAAGCGUUACGCGGAAUCACUGGGCGUAAAGAGCGCGUAGGCGGGAUAGCAAGUCAGAUGGGAAAUCCUAGGGCUUAACCAUAGAACUGCAUUUGAAACUGUUAUUCUAGAGUAUGGGAGAGGUAGGUGGAAUUCUUGGUGUAGCGGUGCAAUCCGUAGAGAUCAAG